GAUGAACGCUGGCGGCGUGCCUAAUACAUGCAAGUCGAGCGAACAGACGAGGAGCUUGCUCCUCUGACGUUAGCGGCGGACGGGUGAGUAACACGUGGAUAACCUACCUAUAAGACUGGGAUAACUUCGGGAAACCGGAGCUAAUACCGGAUAAUAUAUUGAACCGCAUGGUUCAAUAGUGAAAGACGGUUUUGCUGUCACUUAUAGAUGGAUCCGCGCCGCAUUAGCUAGUUGGUAAGGUAACGGCUUACCAAGGCAACGAUGCGUAGCCGACCUGAGAGGGUGAUCGGCCACACUGGAACUGAGACACGGUCCAGACUCCUACGGGAGGCAGCAGUAGGGAAUCGUCCGCAAUGGGCGAAAGCUUGACGGAGCAACGCCGCGUGAGUGAUGAAGGUCUUCGGAUCGGAAAACUCUGUUAUUAGGGAAGAACAAAUGUGUAAGUAACUAUGCACGUCUUGACGGUACCUAAUCAGAAAGCCACGGCUAACUACGUG
rnacentral:rRNA from 1 species